rnacentral:rRNA from 1 species
GGGUUGUGAGGUUAAGCGACUAAGCGUACACGGUGGAUGCCCUGGCAGUCAGAGGCGAUGAAGGACGUGCUAAUCUGCGAAAAGCGUCGGUAAGGUGAUAUGAACCGUUAUAACCGGCGAUGUCCGAAUGGGGAAACCCAGUGCAAUUCGUUGCACUAUCGUUAACUGAAUACAUAGGUUAACGAGGCGAACCGGGGGAACUGAAACAUCUAAGUACCCCGAGGAAAAGAAAUCAACCGAGAUUCCCCCAGUAGCGGCGAGCGAACGGGGAGCAGCCCAGAGUCUGAAUCAGCUUGUGUGUUAGUGGAACGGUCUGGAAAGUCCGACGGUACAGGGUGAUAGUCCCGUACACCAAAAUGCACAGGCUGUGAACUCGAAGAGUAGGGCGGGACACGUGGUAUCCUGUCUGAAUAUGGGGGGACCAUCCUCCAAGGCUAAAUACUCCUGACUGACCGAUAGUGAACCAGUACCGUGAGGGAAAGGCGAAAAGAACCCCGGCGAGGGGAGUGAAAAAGAACCUGAAACCGUGUACGUACAAGCAGUGGGAGCACCUUCGGGUGUGACUGCGUACCUUUUGUAUAAUGGGUCAGCGACUUAUAUUCUGUAGCAAGGUUAACCGUAUAGGGGAGCCGCAGGGAAACCGAGUCUUAACUGGGCGUUAAGUUGCAGGGUAUAGACCCGAAACCCGGUGAUCUAGCCAUGGGCAGGUUGAAGGUUGGGUAACACUAACUGGAGGACCGAACCGACUAAUGUUGAAAAAUUAGCGGAUGACUUGUGGCUGGGGGUGAAAGGCCAAUCAAACCGGGAGAUAGCUGGUUCUCCCCGAAAGCUAUUUAGGUAGCGCCUCGUGAACUCAUCUUCGGGGGUAGAGCACUGUUUCGGCUAGGGGGUCAUCCCGACUUACCAACCCGAUGCAAACUACGAAUACCGAAGAAUGUUAUCACGGGAGACACACGGCGGGUGCUAACGUCCGUCGUGAAGAGGGAAACAACCCAGACCGCCAGCUAAGGUCCCAAAGUCAUGGUUAAGUGGGAAACGAUGUGGGAAGGCACAGACAGCCAGGAUGUUGGCUUAGAAGCAGCCAUCAUUUAAAGAAAGCGUAAUAGCUCACUGGUCGAGUCGGCCUGCGCGGAAGAUGUAACGGGGCUAAACCAUGCACCGAAGCUGCGGCAGCGACACUAUGUGUUGUUGGGUAGGGGAGCGUUCUGUAAGCCUGCGAAGGUGUGCUGUGAGGGUUGCUGGAGGUAUCAGAAGUGCGAAUGCUGACAUAAGUAACGAUAAAGCGGGUGAAAAGCCCGCUCGCCGGAAGACCAAGGGUUCCUGUCCAACGUUAAUCGGGGCAGGGUGAGUCGACCCCUAAGGCGAGGCCGAAAGGCGUAGUCGAUGGGAAACAGGUUAAUAUUCCUGUACUUGGUGUUACUGCGAAGGGGGGACGGAGAAGGCUAUGUUAGCCGGGCGACGGUUGUCCCGGUUUAAGCAUGUAGGCUGGUUAUCCAGGCAAAUCCGGAUAAUCAAGGCUGAGGUGUGAUGACGAGGCACUACGGUGCUGAAGUAACAAAUGCCCUGCUUCCAGGAAAAGCCUCUAAGCAUCAGGUAACAUCAAAUCGUACCCCAAACCGACACAGGUGGUCAGGUAGAGAAUACCAAGGCGCUUGAGAGAACUCGGGUGAAGGAACUAGGCAAAAUGGUGCCGUAACUUCGGGAGAAGGCACGCUGGUGUGUAGGUGAAGUCCCUGCGGAUGGAGCUGAGACCAGUCGAAGAUACCAGCUGGCUGCAACUGUUUAUUAAAAACACAGCACUGUGCAAACACGAAAGUGGACGUAUACGGUGUGACGCCUGCCCGGUGCCGGAAGGUUAAUUGAUGGGGUUAUCCGUAAGGAGAAGCUCUUGAUCGAAGCCCCGGUAAACGGCGGCCGUAACUAUAACGGUCCUAAGGUAGCGAAAUUCCUUGUCGGGUAAGUUCCGACCUGCACGAAUGGCGUAAUGAUGGCCAGGCUGUCUCCACCCGAGACUCAGUGAAAUUGAACUCGCUGUGAAGAUGCAGUGUACCCGCGGCAAGACGGAAAGACCCCGUGAACCUUUACUAUAGCUUGACACUGAACAUUGAGCCUUGAUGUGUAGGAUAGGUGGGAGGCUUUGAAGCGUGGACGCCAGUCUGCGUGGAGCCAACCUUGAAAUACCACCCUUUAAUGUUUGAUGUUCUAACGUUGGCCCCUUACCGGGGUUGCGGACAGUGUCUGGUGGGUAGUUUGACUGGGGCGGUCUCCUCCCAAAGCGUAACGGAGGAGCACGAAGGUUAGCUAAUCCUGGUCGGACAUCAGGAGGUUAGUGCAAUGGCAUAAGCUAGCUUGACUGCGAGCGUGACGGCGCGAGCAGGUGCGAAAGCAGGUCAUAGUGAUCCGGUGGUUCUGAAUGGAAGGGCCAUCGCUCAACGGAUAAAAGGUACUCCGGGGAUAACAGGCUGAUACCGCCCAAGAGUUCAUAUCGACGGCGGUGUUUGGCACCUCGAUGUCGGCUCAUCACAUCCUGGGGCUGAAGUAGGUCCCAAGGGUAUGGCUGUUCGCCAUUUAAAGUGGUACGCGAGCUGGGUUUAGAACGUCGUGAGACAGUUCGGUCCCUAUCUGCCGUGGGCGCUGGAGAAUUGAGGGGGGCUGCUCCUAGUACGAGAGGACCGGAGUGGACGCAUCACUGGUGUUCGGGUUGUCAUGCCAAUGGCACUGCCCGGUAGCUAAAUGCGGAAGAGAUAAGUGCUGAAAGCAUCUAAGCACGAAACUUGCCCCGAGAUGAGUUCUCCCUGAGACUUUAAGUCUCCUGAAGGAACGUU